rnacentral:rRNA from 1 species
GACGAACGCUGGCGGCGUGCUUAACACAUGCAAGUCGAACGAAGUGGCGAACGGGUGAGUAACGCGUAAUCAACCUGCCCUUCAGAGGGGGACAACAGUUGGAAACGACUUCUAAUACCGCAUACUGAAGGAGGGGAUUGCGUCUGAUUAGCUAGUUGGAGGGGUAACGGCCCACCAAGGCGAUGAUCAGUAGCCGGUCUGAGGGGCGGAACGGCAAAAUGUGGACAGAGACACGGCCCAGACUCCUACGGGAGGUAGCAGUGGGGGAGCUUCCGGAAUUGACGAAAGUCUGAAGGAGCAACGCCGGGUGAGUGAUGACGGCCUUCGGGUUGUAAAGCUCUGUUAAUCGGGACGCGGUACCGGAAUAGAAAGCCACGGCUAACUACGUGCCAGCAGCCGCGGUAAUUC